rnacentral:rRNA from 1 species
UUACCAAAAACAUAGCCAAUAGAAAAAAUUAUUAAUGGUGAUGCCUGCUCAAUGAUUAAACAAUAAACAAUAACAAUAAUUAAAUAGCUGCGGUAACACCUGACCGUACAAAGGUAGCAUAAUAAAUCGCCUACUAAUUAUAGGAUAGAAUGAAGGUAAAACGAAGACCCAACUGUCUCAAAAUAUUCAAAUAUAAAAUAGAAUGUGUGUGCAAAUCCACACUAAGGUGGCAAGACGAUAAGACCCUAAGAACUUUACUAAAAACUUAUUAUAUAAUAAGUCUUAAGUUUCGUUGGGGCAACGGUCUUUAAAAAAGUAACUAAGACUAACUAAUCUAAUAAUAUUACAAAAAAUUUAUUAAAAAAUGAUAAGACCCAUUAAAAAAAAACAUUAAUGAUAACAUGAUAAAAGUUCCUUAGGGAUAACAGCGUUAUAUCGUUUCCAGAGAACCAUCCAAACGAUGUUUGCGACCUCGAUGUUGAAUUACRA